rnacentral:rRNA from 1 species
UGGGGAAUAUUGCACAAUGGGCGCAAGCCUGAUGCAGCCAUGCCGCGUGUAUGAAGAAGGCCUUCGGGUUGUAAAGUACUUUCAGUCGGGAGGAAGGUGUCAAGGUUAAUAACCUUGGCAAUUGACGUUACCGACAGAAGAAGCACCGGCUAACUCCGUGCCAGCAGCCGCGGUAAUACGGAGGGUGCAAGCGUUAAUCGGAAUUACUGGGCGUAAAGCGCACGCAGGCGGUCUGUCAAGUCGGAUGUGAAAUCCCCGGGCUCAACCUGGGAACUGCAUUCGAAACUGGCAGGCUAGAGUCUUGUAGAGGGGGGUAGAAUUCCAGGUGUAGCGAUGAAAUGCGUAGAGAUCUGGAGGAAUACCGGUGGCGAAGGCGGCCCCCUGGACAAAGACUGACGCUCAGGUGCGAAAGCGUGGGGAGCAAACAGG